AAUGAUCUAUACAACUCUGCAGAUAAACUUAAGACGGUCUUAAAUAUAAGAUCCGACUAUGAAUACCGGCCAUAGAUAUAGGAAAGAGAGAUGGAGCUUUAGACAAGGGGGGUGAAGCCAUUGCGGGAGGAGCGACGAGCGAUAAUGGUUAAUUGCUGCGCACCACAUUGUAAAAAUACAUCCAGCAUAAAUGGUUGGCAAAAACGAAUCGAUUGUGGAGAAAAAAGAAGAAAUGUGUAAUUCCUUAGCAUUCCAAGUGAUCCGAAAAGAUGUAAUAUGUGGAUUCAGAUCUCGCAUCUUAAUGAGACUACAAUUAAUGGUUCAUCACGCGUAUGCUCUGAUCAUUUUAAAGAAGAGGACUUUGAUCGAAGAUGUCUUAUUGCUAGGCUUCUACCUAAUGCUACAAAAUAAAUAUUAUGAUUUUAUACACAGAUAUAAUUUAUUAUUACAAUACAAACAAAAUAUAUAAAUAUUUUCAUAUAUGAUUACAUGCCUUUAAAUAGUACAAUUUUGUUCAAGAAAUGGCGUUUACUUGUAUGUUUAUCAAUAGAAUUUAAUUCUGUA